ensembl:lncRNA
AUGUCCAGUCACUCUGAGCAUAUUCAGGGCAGCUCCUGCCCUUGCUUAAACAUAGCACUCACUCAAGCAGGGAGGGACGUGCAAGAUUCCAGUGAGCAGGAGGACAGCACAAGAGCGGACUGGCCACCAGAGGCUCCGGGGAAGGAUCUUCAGUCACUAGGUGGUCUGGAGCAUGAUGUCACAAUGACAGACCUAAAGACACAAAGGAACAACAGGCUCACCGCCACACCCGCCACCGCAGGCCUUGCAGCCAGGUUAACAAAUGGGAAUCAUCACUCCUGCCAUCCAUGGGGCAGAACCAGGCGUGCUCCCAGAACUGAGGGCAGAGGAAAUUCUGUGGGAAGUAGCAGUUGCAGCUGCAAGAGGUGAAAUUCCACCCUGGAAAAUAAGAUGGGGAAGCACAGCUGAGUCCAGAGUGAGCAUCAGAAACUGAGACACCGGAAGCAGAAUGCCAAGUGUUCACACACAUGUGAUGACUGUAGCUUAAGGUCUCCACCGGCUGCCUCCUGCUGUUCGGGCAGUUGCCAAAAAGGAAUGUGGGGAGUGAUUGGAUUGGCUGUAUCCUCAGGUUAUCUUCACGUACAAAUAUAAACCAUUAUUAUGAGUUAAAACAGGAUACUAGUGUGGGAUUUAGGAAGGUGCAGGGGUUUUUUUCCCCUUCAUAUCUGAUAUGCUGGAUGACUCUGGCCUUGAAUCUCAGCUUCUCCAAGCCCCCAAGCUCCUCCUUCUGAGGCAGGGCCCGCCUGCCCUGCUCUGAGAAUCUCCAGGAUCGGAACCCCACCUCCCAUCCACACAUGCACGGGGCUAGGACUCAGAGCAAGCUGUGAUGAAAUAAGGCACAGUGCAGUGCAACGGCAGAAUGUAGCCUGGCUGGUUUCUUUACCUAUUGGGCAUCUUAUCCUGCCACCUCCCAUGGCUCAGAGGUACGGACUCCAAGACCAGUGACCUGGAUGAUACCCAGGCCUUUCUUCCCUUCAUCCUCUGAUCCCCACACCAGUCAUUUAAAGCAUGCAAACGUGUGCUCCUCAGUGUGAGGCAGGGUACCUCAGUGUUCACCCAAAUCUAAUUCAGCCCUAAUGACAGCCUGUUUUCCCCUCUCCUUCCCAUCCCACCCCAGGAAAAACUUGGGUUCUUUCUCUCAGUUCCACUGGAUGAUGUUGAAGGCCCAACCCCAUAGCAUAACCCCCAGGANNNNNNNNNNNNNNNNNNNNNNNNNNNNNNNNNNNNNNNNNNNNNNNNNNNNNNNNNNNNNNNNNNNNNNNNNNNNNNNNNNNNNNNNNNNNNNNNNNNCCCACCCCAGGAAAAACUUGGGUUCUUUCUCUCAGCUCCACUGGAUGAUGUUGAAGGCCCAACCCCAUAGCAUAACCCCCAGGACCACCACUCUUUCCAACACCAAGCUGCUCCCUUCACAGCCACCAUAGGAAGCAAAUGAGCUUAGAAGGGAUGAGGGGGUACCAGAUGAUGCUGGACUUUGCCGGGCAUAGAUCCCCUCAACAGAAUCUGAAGUUCGUGUCCUCUCCCACAGGGGAAAAAUGGAUAUCCAGGCCCCAUUUGCCCAUGUUCAAAGGAUUCACAGUCCCUGAAGGCNNNNNNAGGAUUCACAGUCCCUGAAGGCCCAUCCUUGGGUCUCUGAGUCCAUAGACUUUGGGUUAAAAAUCCCUGCACUGUAGAGAACCCAACCCCACAGAGAGUGUGGGAAAAGAAACAGAAAUAAGGUCUCAAACACCCUUUCCCUUCUCGGCAAGCCAAAACCGGGAGCAGAGAGAGGCAGGAGUGGUCACACAGGGAAAGACAGCAUCCUGAACAUUCUAGAAUCAUGAUCUGAUGAGCAGGGGAAGCUAUGUGUCCCAACAGCCGUGGCCAGACAGAGGGAAUGCAGUGUCUGGACACUGGCCAUUCUUACCCUCUCUUCCACCACAGGGAUCUCUGGCCCCAUCCUGACCCCUGGUGGCUGCCAACAGGAUGAGGCGAGAGAGCUUCCCAAGCUCCUCCCUGCCCUGUGGGGGUUGGAAGGGGAAGCAACAUUGGAAGAUGAACUUCUAAGCCUACCGGCCCCUGAUGGGGUCCCCAGGAGAUAUCACCAUGUUUCUCAGGGUGCUUCAGGGGGUUCACUCCACUACAGUGCCUUCUCAGUCUAAGCUUGGCAAUCAAACAAAUGUACAUGAAGAAAAGCAUUUUUCACCUGUUAAGUUGGCCAAAGGGGUGCGUGUGUGCGUGCCUGCGUGCCUGCAUGCGUGCGUGCGUGCAUGUGUGUGUGUGUGUGUGUGACUGAAAGAGGAAAUAGACAAAACAGGCUCUAUCUUGAAAGCAGGACUCCAUCUUGGGCCGGACCAUGGACUUUGAGCUAUAUGCCCAGUAUCUAUGGAAAC